rnacentral:piRNA from 1 species
AAUGGGGGAAUGAAGGAACCAGC